CGGAGCGUAGCGCAGUCUGGUAGCGCACCUCGUUCGGGACGAGGGGGUCGGAGGUUCGAAUCCUCUCGCUCCGA
rnacentral:tRNA from 1 species